AGAGUUUGAUCAUGGCUCAGAGCGAACGCUGGCGGAAUGCUUAACACAUGCAAGUCGCACGGCCGGCAACGGCAGUGGCGGACGGGUGAGUAACGCGUAGGAACGUGUCCUGUUGUGGGGGAUAACCCUGGGAAACUGGGGCUAAUACCGCAUGUGUCCUGAGGGACAAAGCCGUGAGGCGCGAUGGGAGCGGCCUGCGUCCGAUUAGCUUGUUGGUGGGGUAAAGGCCUACCAAGGCGAUGAUCGGUAGCUGGUCUGAGAGGACGAUCAGCCACACUGGGACUGAGACACGGCCCAGACUCCUACGGGAGGCAGCAGUGGGGAAUAUUGGACAAUGGGCGCAAGCCUGAUCCAGCAAUUCCGCGUGGGUGAAGAAGGUCUUCGGAUUGUAAAGCCCUUUCGGCGGGGACGAUGAUGACGGUACCCGCAGAAGAAGCCCCGGCUAACUUCGUGCCAGCCGCCGCGGUAAUAC
rnacentral:rRNA from 1 species